rnacentral:rRNA from 1 species
AUGCAGUCGAACGGUGAAGCAGAGCUUGCUCUGUGGAUCAGUGGCGAACGGGUGAGUAACACGUGAGCAACCUGCCCCUGACUCUGGGAUAAGCGCUGGAAACGGCGUCUAAUACUGGAUAUGAGCUGCGAUCGCAUGGUCAGCAGUUGGAAAGAUUUUUCGGUCUGGGAUGGGCUCACGGCCUAUCAGCUUGUUGGUGAGGUAAUGGCUCACCAAGGCGUCGACGGGUAGCCGGCCUGAGAGGGUGACCGGCCACACUGGGACUGAGACACGGCCCAGACUCCUACGGGAGGCAGCAGUGGGGAAUAUUGCACAAUGGGCGAAAGCCUGAUGCAGCAACGCCGCGUGAGGGAUGACGGCCUUCGGGUUGUAAACCUCUUUUAGCAGGGAAGAAGCGAAAGUGACGGUACCUGCAGAAAAAGCGCCGGCUAACUACGUGCCAGCAGCCGCGGUAAUACGUAGGGCGCAAGCGUUAUCCGGAAUUAUUGGGCGUAAAGAGCUCGUAGGCGGUUUGUCGCGUCUGCUGUGAAAUCCCGAGGCUCAACCUCGGGUCUGCAGUGGGUACGGGCAGACUAGAGUGCGGUAGGGGAGAUUGGAAUUCCUGGUGUAGCGGUGGAAUGCGCAGAUAUCAGGAGGAACACCGAUGGCGAAGGCAGAUCUCUGGGCCGUUACUGACGCUGAGGAGCGAAAGGGUGGGGAGCAAACAGGCUUAGAUACCCUGGUAGUCCACCCCGUAAACGUUGGGAACUAGUUGUGGGGUCCAUUCCACGGAUUCCGUGACGCAGCUAACGCAUUAAGUUCCCCGCCUGGGGAGUACGGCCGCAAGGCUAAAACUCAAAGGAAUUGACGGGGACCCGCACAAGCGGCGGAGCAUGCGGAUUAAUUCGAUGCAACGCGAAGAACCUUACCAAGGCUUGACAUAUACGAGAACGGGCCAGAAAUGGUCAACUCUUUGGACACUCGUAAACAGGUGGUGCAUGGUUGUCGUCAGCUCGUGUCGUGAGA